rnacentral:rRNA from 1 species
GACGAACGCUGGCGGCGCGCCUAACACAUGCAAGUCGAACGAGCGAGAGAGAGCUUGCUUUCUUGAGCGAGUGGCGAACGGGUGAGUAACGCGUGAGGAACCUGCCUCAAAGAGGGGGACAACAGUUGGAAACGACUGCUAAUACCGCAUAAGCCCACGACCCGGCAUCGGGUUGAGGAAAAAGGAGCAAUCCGCUUUGAGAUGGCCUCGCGUCCGAUUAGCUAGUUGGUGAGGUAACGGCCCACCAAGGCGACGAUCGGUAGCCGGACUGAGAGGUUGAACGGCCACAUUGGGACUGAGACACGGCCCAGACUCCUACGGGAGGCAGCAGUGGGGAAUAUUGCACAAUGGGGGAAACCCUGAUGCAGCGACGCCGCGUGGAGGAAGAAGGUCUUCGGAUUGUAAACUCCUGUUGUUGAGGAAGAUAAUGACGGUACUCAACAAGGAAGUGACGGCUAACUACGUG